UUUAAACAAGUUUACAUUAGAUUAAACUCAUUAAAUACAAUCAAUUAACCACAAUACCAAAUUAUUAACCAGAGAAAGGAAAAACUCAUGUAAUUAAUGAAAAUGGUAUUAUUGACCAGAGAAAGGAAAAACCCAUGUAAUUAAUAAAAAGAAAAGAAAAUUAACAGAAACAAAGAGCAAAUUACAGGCACGAAUGAUCCAAUCAGGCGAGGUUUGGACGAUGGUGACGUGGGUGACGCGUGCAGCAACAGCGGUGUGGCGAGCUUCAACGACGGCAAGGCUUGCAGUGUGCAGCGACAGCAACGUGCUCAGGGGAGGCGACGACGGCAAGGCUUGCAGUGUGCAGCGAUAGCAACGUGCUCAGGCGAGGCUGCGACGCGAGGCUCAGGCGAGGCUGCAAGGAAGACGGCGACCGGUCGACGGCGUUACAAGCCCUUCAGAUUUGGCCGGCGUUAGAGAUUUGAAGGUUGCGGCUGCUGGUGAGUGGUGAGGUACCGUGAGGCUUGACUCUUGAGAGUGUGUGAAACUGGAUGCGAUAUUGU
rnacentral:lncRNA from 1 species